CCUACGGGAGGCAGCAGUGGGGAAUAUUGCACAAUGGGGGAAACCCUGAUGCAGCGACGCCGCGUGAGUGAAGAAGUAUUUCGGUAUGUAAAGCUCUAUCAGCAGGGAAGAAAAUGACGGUCCCUGACUAAGAAGCCCCGGCUAACUACGUGCCAGCAGCCGCGGUAAUACGUAGGGGGCAAGCGUUAUCCGGCUUUACUGGCGGGAAGGGGAGCGUAGACGGUAGGGCAAGUCGGAAGGGAAAGCCCGCGGCUCAACUGCUGGACUGCUUUGGAAACUGUUCAACUGGAGUGCUGGAGAGGUAAGCGGAAUGCCUAGUGUAGCGGUGAAAUGCGUAGAUAUUAGGCGGAACACCAGUGGCGAAGGCGGCUUACUGGACAGUAACUGACGUUGAGGCUCGAAAGCGUGGGGAGCAAACAGGAUUAGAUACCCUAGUAGUC
rnacentral:rRNA from 1 species